rnacentral:lncRNA from 1 species
AAGAUACAGAGACCGGGUGCAUGCGCUACGGCCUUGUGGAAGGGAAUCUGUCCGGGUGGGAUCCGAGCCCUGCGCAUCCCAAAAGAGCAGAGCAGGUGCUCAGCUGGUGCCCUGUUACCGUGCCACACGCUUUAUUUGCCUUUGUAGGGCAGCGUGUUUGUCCACAGGCAUUAUCAGGCAGGCAGAGGCAGCACCCCUGUUUGCAGGAGGCUGACGGCUCCUGCCUGGGCACCGCAGCUGGCGAAGGCUCCUGUGCUGGGGGGGGUGCAGGGAAAGCCCUGGGGUGGGGGACUUGGGACUGCAGGGAGCAACAGCCCCCAGGAGAAGCAGCUGAUGGGAAGGGUGCUGGGCUGCCCAGGAGAUGGCAGCAGGUUUCCACCAGCGUGGUUGUGGACGUGGACCUGGGCAGCCUGCUCUAGGUGGCCUUGCUCGAGCAGGGCUGGACCUGCUGACCUCCAGGGGUGCCUUUCAACCUCAGCCCCCCGUGAUCUUGGGCAGUGCAGAAAGAGAGGAUGCCCUGCAGAUAGCUUGUGAGGGCAGCCCCCAGCCCCCACGUCGUCCACAUUCACAUUUCUGGCAAUGGCCAGUGCCUAGGGUGCGGAGGGGGGGAUCAUCUUCCUAUUCACUGCAGGCUCUGAAGGGUGCUGAGGUUGGGGGGGGGCUGGAAGGGUUAAGAGGGCUGAGGCUGCACCCACAGCUGUGGGUGCUGAGAGGGUAUAAGUGGGGCUGGGGGCACACCUGGGCUGCUUUUGCCCCUGCAGCAAUGGGAAGUGGUGCUUGUGUGUUGGUGUGGCAAAGCACAGCCCAGUACUGGAGAAGAAAAGCAGCGAGGGAAGGUGAGGAAAAGCUGAUCUCACUUGUGGACGCUGCCACUUUGAAACCAGGACGCAGAGAGGGGAGAACGUGUGUGGAAGGAGCAGCUGGCACGGUGCCUGACCGGGAGGAAAGUGAGGCGUGGAGUCUACCCGUGUGUGACGAUGUGCUCCAGGCUCUGGGAUUUGUGCAAGCAUGGCUGGUCCCACUCAUGGGCUUGGCACUCGGCCACUUGGGCUGAAACAUGGAUGGGGCUGAGCUCCAGGCCACUCACUCCUCCUUCUGUAGGGGCUUUCUGCAUGGUCUCUGUGCUGUGCGUGACUUUUUCCUUUGUUGAAAAAAGUCUUAAUUCUCAAGUCAGGUAAAACUUGCCCACCUGUCCUAUUUCUCCCCCCACACCUUGGUGACUUCUUAUACACCUGUAAUUAUCCUGGACUACCUGCUAAGCCACAUGGCAUAGCCCCUGCUCUUUGCAGUGGUGGGAAGACUUGUAUCCUAAAGCUGUUUUGCAGGAACAGAUGCAAUCUGGAUCCCAGAUAAGGUUUCCAAGGCAAGCUUCCUCCUCUCAAAUGCUCUGCGGAUCCAACGUGCUCCUUCCUCCCCGCCUGUCUGCACGUGUGGGCAGGCUGAAAGCAGAGGUAGGAUCCUGCUCUGGUUGUGGGGUGCCAAGCAGGGUCCUCUCAGGAACUACCAGAGAGGUUGGGGCUUCUCCUGUGUGCAGGAGGCUGUGGUGAAGGCAUCUGACUCUUGGUAGCCUCCCUCUGCUAAGUAGAGAGGAGAGCAUGGGGAGAGCUUGUACUUGGAGGGUCUGUGCACGGGGA